CCUACGGGAGGCAGCAGUGAGGAAUAUUGGUCAAUGGACGAGAGUCUGAACCAGCCAAGUAGCGUGAAGGAUGACUGCCCUAUGGGUUGUAAACUUCUUUUAUAUGGGAAUAAAAUGUUCCACGUGUGGGAUUUUGUAUGUACCAUAUGAAUAAGGAUCGGCUAACUCCGUGCCAGCAGCCGCGGUAAUACGGAGGAACCGAGCGUUAUCCGGAUUUAUUGGGUUUAAAGGGUGCGUAGGUGGAUUGUUAAGUCAGUUGUGAAAGUUUGGGGCUCAACCGUAAAAUUGCAGUUGAAACUGGCAGUCUUGAGUACAGUAGAGGUGGGCGGAAUUCGUGGUGUAGCGGUGAAAUGCUUAGAUAUCACGAAGAACUCCGAUUGCGAAGGCAGUUCACUGGACUGCAACUGACACUGAGGCUCGAAAGUGUGGGUAUCAAACAGGAUUAGAUACCCGUGUAGUC
rnacentral:rRNA from 1 species